UACGUAGGGUGCGAGCGUUGUCCGGAAUUACUGGGCGUAAAGAGCUCGUAGGUGGUUUGUCGCGUUGUCCGUGAAAACUCACAGCUUAACUGUGGGCGUGCGGGCGAUACGGGCAGACUGGAGUACUGCAGGGGAGACUGGAAUUCCUGGUGUAGCGGUGGAAUGCGCAGAUAUCAGGAGGAACACCGGUGGCGAAGGCGGGUCUCUGGGACGGUACUGACGCUGAGACGCGAAAGCGUGGGGAGCGAACAGG
rnacentral:rRNA from 1 species